UUUUUUUUUCUUAAUUUAAUUAUUUAUUAAUUUAUUUUAUUUAUUUUUAAGGUAAGCUCUACACCCAAACUGGGGCUUGAACUCACAACCCUGAGAUCAAGAGUUGCAUGUAUUACUGACUUAGCCAACCAGGCACUCCCAAGAUAUUGCUUAAAUUUCAGAUUUCAAUGAAGCGAGUUAUGCUUCAAUUAACAAAGGAAAUGAUGUUCUUAGCAUGUAUGAUUAUCCUGUGCAGCUUAAUUAACCUUGGCUACUAUGAAAUACUCACUACACAUCCUAAUCUUACCCUCUUCUACCGUCACACACCUACACGCACCAUUAUGCAUUUGUAACCUCUGCGGAAGCCUGCUUGUACUAGUGAACCACCUUUAGCUAGUUAUUUCUUCCCUGGCUAAGUAAAGGGAGGAAGUACCAGAGUAAGUGAAAGGACCUUACUUUACAUGUCUGCCAUCCACCUGACCCUGCCAGGCAUUGUACUCGAGUUCUCUCUCAUUAGCUCACAUUUACAGUUUGACACUCAGGAGUAACAAAAAAUAAAACACAUAAAUUCUGUAUAAUUAAAUGUGAUUCCUAAGUGAAACACAUUUUAUCUUCUGAAAUUGGCAGCUCAGCUUUGUUCCAGCAAGCAGACUCCAGUUGUGAUUUGUAGAAUAUAUACCUUCUGGCUGAUUGACCAGCUUGGCCAUCAGCCAACUGACAAAUCUGAAAACAAACCAAGAGUGGGUAUUUGCCAGUGACUUCCUGGAAGGCAAACGUGACAGCCCUGACUUUAAUCUCGGCACCAGAGGCUUCAGUAAUAGUUGUGCCAAAACUAGAGUCAAGCAGGAAUCACAGAGUUGGAUAGGAACUCAAAGGAGUCAUUUCCAGGAAGAGCAAAUUCAGAGGUGGCCCAGGAUGCUUGGCAAUACUUUAGCCUGUGUUAGAGACAAAGUGUUUAUUUGUAAUGUGAUGCGGGUAAACUCUUGGCCAGCUCAAUGAGUGUGAAGUUACAGUAAACCCAGUGCUCUAUCAGGGUUUCAGAUUCUCCUACCACAUCCCUGAGCAUCACACCAGCAGUGCCACACACUUCUCUUACCCAUCUUUUUCUGAAAAUCCUUUGAGAAUCCUGACUAGCUUAUAGGAAGAACAUUCUCUUCCAGAUGAUAUUUCCAAUUUAUGUUUCCCUUAAGUUUUUUGGUCAAAGAUGACACACUGGGAUGCCUGGGUGGCUCAGCAGUUGAGCAUCUGCCUUUGGCGCAGGGCAUGAUCCCGGGGCCCAGGAACGAGUCCCGCGUCGGGCUCCCUGAAGGCAGCCUGCUUCUCCUUCUGCCUGCGUUUCUGCCUCUCUCUGUGUGUCUCUCAUGAAUAAAUAGAUAAAAUCUUUAAAAAAAAAAAAAAAAGAUGACACACUGUCUCAUUGAUUUAUGGUUCCACAGCAACCUGGAGCUUUUACAUGGCAUGUAUUAGAUUCUCUCUGCAUAUGUAUUUUUAAUUAACUAAGGUUUGUGAUAGGACAAAGUAUCACCAGGUAAUCAAUACUUUUUAUGUAUGUAAGGAUGGGAAUAUGAUACAGAAUGAAAGAGUACAGGCUGCCAAAGGAGACAAGAAGUAAUGGCAUGAUUCCUCUCUCUUCUUCUCUGCAAACUUUCAUAAAAUAUAGACAGUGGUGGACAGCAUACAAGCAUUGUAUGUUCAUAGUCUCCUGGGUCUUCUAGGAACCCAUUCUUUUUUCCAGGAAAAAAAAAAAAAAAAAAAGACACCUCAUUCAGGACAAUUUCACCUAAUGGUCAAAAGCCUUAACUCCACACUUGAUCUUAGCCAAAAGGCCGAGAAGCGGCGAUCAAAAACCUUAACUCCAAAAGAAUUUCGGCUUCCAAAUGGAACUGCAGGUCUCAAAGAUAUCGCUUGUCCUGCAGGGCAAAAGAAAAGCUAUUGUAGUUCUAAAUUCCACAUGCAAAUUGGCUUAUAUCCAGAAGAAGAGGGUCUAUCCACCUUUUCCCAGAAAUAGCUGUUUCAUCUCUUACUGAAUUUUAAUUCCAAAAGGUAUCACGUGUCACCAUGCCGGUGGGCAGACCUCCAACAUGUUUGUACUUACAACAUUCCCACCAUGCUGUUCAAUGCUUCCUCCCUUUAUUAUGAGUAUGAUGUCAGGGGCUACACCAUCCACUAUGGGACUGGGGUCUUAAAGGUCUUGGUCCCUCCACCCCCAUCCACUUCCACCUCCAUCCUGCCUGGCAGUCCACCAGAAACGUUAUCUAUUUGUUGCAACUGCUGACACAGUUUGACACUUCCUGUCCUGUCCUGAUAUUCGUAGGUGUGCCCAAAUGAAUCAGCUCAUACAAGUAAAAUCAAGGUGGGUGAAGAGGGCAAAUCUUUACCAAGCUUCGCCAGGAAGUUCCUUUGUAUUGUCAUUUUGAGCCCCCCGCCAGAACUCCUAUUACAUGUUAUUUUCUAGACAUUCUGCAUACUGUAAGUAUCCAUUCAACCUUUUAUCUUUCUAAUAUAGAAUGCUUCCCUAAAUAUCAUUUUCUGAAUUUUAAAAGAGGUGGCAAAUAGUCAAUGACUCUUGAGGAAAUAGCUCAGAAAGCUGGGAUAAAACAAGCCAACUGAAUACUAAUUUGACUACAAUGCUGUUUUAUUCAAGGACAAAUUUGAUCAUUUAAGAAAAGAGUUCUAAUCUCCAUUAUCUUGCUAUCAAAUGGCAUAUAACAGAAAUAAGAAAUUAUACUUAGUUUUACUACUCAAGGAGUUAGAAUUACUAUUCCAGGAGUACUUAAUUCCUUAUGAAUAAAGUUCUAAAAAAAUGUAUAUAUAUUGCUAUUUAAAGCAAGGACUAUAUACUUUAAUGACAUCUCUAAAUUUGCACCGAACUCUGCACUGGACUACAUUCUCUCACACCCAUUAGCUAUCUGUGAGACUCUUGCAGAGACCCAAUGGAGGAGCUGCUCUUAGCAGCUAUGUUCUUCAUAGAUGAUUGGGCUAAAGGUCCUGAAUGAGGAUGAACGUGCAGGGGAUGAAGGGUUAACCGGUUAUCCUAGAACCCAAACCCUUCUAACACACCAUCUUAUGCCUUUUCAUACAGCAUUUUAAUUGACAGAGAAUUUCUCUUGUGGAAAAUACAUGAGACCAAAUUAUCUCUGUCAUUGUAAAAAUGGUUUUAUACUUUUCAGGCUCAUAAAAUGUUUACUCGAAUUAACCAUGAAACAUAAUGCCUGGUUCACCUAUAUUCUAAUGCUAAAAAGUACAGGGGCAGCCCGGGUGGCUCAGCGGUUUAGUGCCGCCUUCAGCCCAGGGUGUGAUCCUGGAGACCCGGGAUCGAGUCCCAUGUCAGGCUCCCUGCAUGGAGCCUGCUUCUCCCUCUGCCUGGGUCUCUGCCUCCUCUCUCUCUCUCUCUCUCUCUCUCUCUCUCUCUGUGUGUGUCUCUCAUGAAUAAAUAAAUAAAAUCUUUAAAAAAAAAAGUACAAAGUUUUCAUGUAAUGAUUUUGUAUUUGAUUAUAUUGCAAUCUAUUUUACAAUCAGUCACCAAUUUUUCCAUUCUUGCUAUGUACUGGGUCUUCAGAAAUCAAGGCUGAUGUUGCCAUGUUUGCCUAAGUAAAGUUAUACACAUAAUGCAAUGUAGAGACAGUUGAGGUGGGCUGACUGUCAGGAUAGUGUCAGGGGUCAACUGAGAGCAUUGCUAUUUUGUUAAUUCAGGAUCUGCCAUAUUUUCUAUAUUGCCCCAGUGGGACUGGUGGAUGGAUCAUGUUCUCCAUGUGUUUUGAGUAAGACAGCAGGUUGGAUUAAGAGGUUACUCUGAAGUCCUGUCUCAAUGGGAUAACCCAGGUCUAAAGGCAAAGGAUUAAAAUGGAGGAUCUUCUUGUCAACUUCAUUCUAGCGUCCUGCUUGAUGUCGGAGAUUAUGACUGAUCAUAGUGUAAUGCAACUUCCAGCUCAUGAUUCAGAACAUGCUGAACAUGACUCUUGUCAUUUUCUGGCUCUCUCUUAAAAAAAUUUCAUUUAGGGGAACCUGGGUGGUUCAGAUAGUUAAGUGUCUGCUUUGGCUCAGGUCAUGAUCCCAGGGUCCUGGAUUG
rnacentral:lncRNA from 1 species